GUGCCAGCCGCCGCGGUAAGACAGAGGUGGCAAGCGUUGUUCGGAUUUACUGGGCUUAAAGGGCGUGUAGGCGUCCUAGUAAGUCAGAUGUGGAAGCCUUGGGCUCAACCCAAGAAUUGCAUUUGAAACUAUUAGGAUUGAGUCGUGCAAGGGAGGGCGGAAUUCCUGGUGUAGCGGUGAAAUGCGUAGAUAUCAGGAGGAAGGCCGGUGGCGAAGGUGGCCCUCUGGGCAAUGACUGACGCUGAGGCGCGAAAGCGUGGGUAGCAAACAGGAUUAGAUACCCUCGUAGUCC
rnacentral:rRNA from 1 species